UCCCUGAUAGCUCAGUUGGUAAAGAAUCCGCCUGCAAUGCGGGAGACCUGGGUUCGAUCCCUGGGUUGGGAA
rnacentral:tRNA from 1 species